CCCUCUCUCUCUCUCUCUCUCUCUCUCGCCAUCCUCUCGGGGCUCCGCGAACCACGCGCCGGCACCGCCCUAGACGCGCCCGAGAGCGACCCGACCCGCCGCCGCCGCCGCCGCCAUGUCGGACGAGGAGCACCACUUCGAGGCCAAGGGCGACGCCGGAGCCUCCAAGACGUUUCCCCAGCAGGCCGGCACGAUCCGCAAGAGCGGGUACAUCGUCAUCAAGGGGCGCCCCUGCAAGGUCGUUGAAGUCUCCACUUCUAAGACUGGGAAGCACGGUCACGCCAAGUGCCACUUUGUUGCAAUUGAUAUUUUCAAUGGAAAAAGCUCGAAGAUAUUGUCCCUCAUCCCACAACUGCGAUGUUCCCCAUGUCAAUCGUACUGACUACCAGCUUAUUGACAUCUCUGAGGAUGGAUUUGUGAGUCUGCUAACUGAAAAUGGGAACACCAAGGAUGACCUGAGGCUCCCAACUGAUGAUAAUUUGCUGUCUCAGAUUAAGGAUGGUUUUGCUGAUGGAAAGGAUCUGGUGGUGUCUGUGAUGUCUUCCAUGGGAGAAGAACAGAUCUGUGCUCUUAAGGACAUUGGCCCAAAGUAAUAACAGCAUGGUGCUCUUCGUACUUUAAUUUAUCGAUUCUCUAGCGAAUUUUGCCAAAGAUGUUAUAGAUUCCAUGUUAAGGUGCUAUAUUCUUUUGGGUUCUGGUUGUGGAAGUGUAUUUGAGGUGAGACCUGUACUAGAUUUGAGAUACUUUGCUUUGGAAUGCAUGGUGUCGGGUUACUAUUCAGCUGAUGACCAUCUGUAACAAGAUGGGCGAAUCUGCCAAAGAGUUGAAUCGAACUUUUUUGUUAA